rnacentral:tRNA from 1 species
GGUGGCUCAGCAGUAGAGUGCUUGUUUUGCAUGCAUGAGGCCCUGAGUUCAAUUCCUCAGCACCA